rnacentral:misc_RNA from 1 species
UAAUCUAUUUCUCUCAGCUUGUUCAUUCUGAGCAAGAAGAUCACGCAUAUUCUUCUCAGCAAGAGCUUUUGCCGCACGUUCUGCUGUCCUUUGAUUCCUUUCUAAUGUGGCUUUACAUCUUUCAACUGAUUCACCAUUACCACCGCUAUAUCUCCCAUCAUGAAUUGAAGGGCUUGGAUAUUUGGAACUGUUGGAAGGACCUGAACCUUUAUAUUGUUGAUCACAGGAUUUUAUUCCAGCAUCUCUUGA